UACGGAGGGUGCAAGCGUUGUCCGGAUUUAUUGGGUUUAAAGGGUGCGUAGGCGGUUCUUUCAGUCUGGGGUGAAAGCCCGUUGCUCAACAACGGAACUGCCCUGGAAACUGGAGGACUUGAGUACAGACGAGGGUGGCGGAAUGGAUGGUGUAGCGGUGAAAUGCAUAGAUACCAUCCAGAACCCCGAUUGCGAAGGCAGCUGCCUAGACUGUAACUGACGCUGAGGCACGAAAGCGUGGGGAGCGAACAGG
rnacentral:rRNA from 1 species